GCGGCUGCACCACUGGGAUACCCUGAUCCAACAUCGAGGUCGUAAACCCACCUGUCGAUAGGGGCUCUUAAGGUGGAUUGCGCUGUUAUCCCUAGGGUAACUUGGUUCGUUGUUCAAAAUAUUGGGUCAAUUUGUGUCAGUUUAUUGGUGCUUAAAGUUGUGGCUUUUGGCUCAAGAGUAGCUCUGUUCAUCGUGGAGGUUAAUUUUUGCUCCGUGGUCACCCCAACCUAAAACUAUUAGUCAAGAGGCUAGAAUAAGUGUAAGAACUCUGAAGUAGGGAUAUAUAAAGCCAGUGCUAAAUAGUUUGAAGCUCCAUAGGGUCUUCUCGUCUUAUAUACAUAUCCCCGCUUCUUCACGGGGAGAUUAGUUUCAUUGAUUAGAAAAAGGAGACAGUGUAACCCUCGUGAUGCCAUUCAUACUAGUCCUCAUUUAAAGAACAAGUGAUUACGCUACCUUCGCACGGUUAGGAUACCGCGGCCGUUGAACUAGGUCACUGGGCAGGCUAGACCUCUUAUAUUAUGCAAGAGGCGGAGUUUUUGGUAAACAGGCGAGGUUAAUAUUUGCCGAGUUCCUUCUUUUUCUUUUAAUCUUUCUUGAAAUGUGCUGGUGUUAGAUUAACAUUAAGGGCAACAGAGUUUUCUAGUGGAGUUGCUGUUUUAGGGUCACAGGUGUUUAAUUAUCAGUGGUAUGUCCUUUCUGAUUUACACUUACAUUUAAGAGAAGGGCUAUCUUCUUAUUACUAGUUUCAACAUAAGGGCUUCUAUAAGAUUAUAGAAUAACUUAAUACAAAUAAAGGG
rnacentral:rRNA from 1 species